AUAUUGUCAAUGUAAAGUUCUGAAUACGGAAGUGUUUCUCCUGACUUAUAUUAGUAACUUUACUCAUCAUGUGGGCGGGAGUUAAGCAGAUGCCACCAGCUACUGCACUCUUCAGGUGGUGUGGAGGGAACGGACGAUGGUUGAAAAGAAUAGAUGAGCACGGCAAAGGACGACGGUCCAUUUGAAAAAAUACAAAAAACUGCCACACUGUUGAGAAAACCAACAGCGAGACAGCAAGAUGGCCCAACCAAACUUGAUAGUUUAUGCCGUUAACGCGAUUGGCUGUUUAGCAUGUGUUCACUGAUCACUUCCUGGUUUGCUAGCUUACCAGACAGCAAGUGCCUUUAAUCGUUUCAUCGUUCCUACGGGAACAUUUGUGUUUACUUGAAGCUAAAGGAUGUUACAUAAACAUUCCGCGCCUUCUAAGGCUUCUGGCAUAGAGGCCAAGCCCCAGAGGAAGCUGCUUUACCAGAAGAGAAAAGGUGCACCUCCUUAUUGCUGUGCUAAAGGGAGGAAGGUAGCUCCCGUGACAAGAUCAAUGAAUCUUUGGUUUGCUACAUAAAGAAGACAAGGCAGCAACAACUCCCCAUUACUUUGUUUUCUCACUCGGAUGAAGACACUGCCACCGUCAUGCAGCUAAUCCUUUAGCAUCAUCAAUUCAUACUUGCCAACCCUCCUGAUUUUCCCGGGAGACUCCCGAAUUUCAGUGCCACUCCCGAAAAUCUCCCGGGGAAACCAUUCUCCCGAAUUUCUCCCGAUUUCCACCCGGACAACAAUAUCGGGGGCCUUUAGCGUCCUCUCUCACCUGAAAAGGAGACUAUUAUAUAUGUCUGUGUUAUCCAUAGGUUUAUCUAUAACCCAUAAAGUAGGCAGGCACGGAGCUAUUUCUCAGCGUGUGUUUAUUCCAGCCGGCACGUUAAUACACUGACACACAACAUCCGGAUUCCCAUCAUGCAUUGCUUCAAAACUACGGCAAGUAGUAAUGUCCAAAAACAUAACAGAGACGAAGCAGAAGAACGACGAAGAGACAUGGCGACGACGAGUAAGAAGAAGAAGUACACUUGCAAGUUCCAAAAUGAUUGGAAAAAAAAAUUCAGUUCAUCCAGGACAGCUCGAAGGGGAAGGGGUAUGCUGCCCGCACAUUUUGUAGAUCAGACUUCUCCAUUGAACACGGUGGCCGAACGGAUAUACUCAUUC